rnacentral:rRNA from 1 species
UUUAUCGGAGAGUUUGAUCCUGGCUCAGGACGAACGCUGGCGGCGUGCCUAAUACAUGCAAGUCGAGCGGACAGAUGGGAGCUUGCUCCCUGAUGUUAGCGGCGGACGGGUGAGUAACACGUGGGUAACCUGCCUGUAAGACUGGGAUAACUCCGGGAAACCGGGGCUAAUACCGGAUGGUUGUCUGGACCGCAUGGUUCAGACAUAAAAGGUGGCUUCGGCUACCACUUACAGAUGGACCCGCGGCGCAUUAGCUAGUUGGUGAGGUAACGGCUCACCAAGGCGACGAUGCGUAGCCGACCUGAGAGGGUGAUCGGCCACACUGGGACUGAGACACGGCCCAGACUCCUACGGGAGGCAGCAGUAGGGAAUCUUCCGCAAUGGACGAAAGUCUGACGGAGCAACGCCGCGUGAGUGAUGAAGGUUUUCGGAUCGUAAAGCUCUGUUGUUAGGGAAGAACAAGUGCCGUUCAAAUAGGGCGGCACCUUGACGGUACCUAACCAGAAAGCCACGGCUAACUACGUGCCAGCAGCCGCGGUAAUACGUAGGUGGCAAGCGUUGUCCGGAAUUAUUGGGCGUAAAGGGCUCGCAGGCGGUUUCUUAAGUCUGAUGUGAAAGCCCCCGGCUCAACCGGGGAGGGUCAUUGGAAACUGGGGAACUUGAGUGCAGAAGAGGAGAGUGGAAUUCCACGUGUAGCGGUGAAAUGCGUAGAGAUGUGGAGGAACACCAGUGGCGAAGGCGACUCUCUGGUCUGUAACUGACGCUGAGGAGCGAAAGCGUGGGGAGCGAACAGGAUUAGAUACCCUGGUAGUCCACGCCGUAAACGAUGAGUGCUAAGUGUUAGGGGGUUUCCGCCCCUUA